rnacentral:lncRNA from 1 species
AAAAGGAACUUUAAACAGUUAAGUAACCCUGCAACCUAACAUUCUUCCAGCUGCACCAUUACUCUAAAAACUAGACUACAAGUGAAACUAUAAAAACCUAUUGCACAACGCAAAGAGGCCUCCUUAGAAGACCAAAACAGAAACAGACAGAUAGAAACAGAGCUUCCAAGGAGGAUGAGGAUGAUGAUAGGUAUAAAACUGCUUACAGAACUCACCAAGGCAUUAUGAGUGGUUUGCUAUUUCUUUUGGCUUACUAGUGCCCUGCCACUUUUUUCAAUAUUUGAUGCAUGAUGUGCUAAGAAAUUUGUUGAGAAAAUGUCUUGUUUUUUUAUGAUAUUUUGGUAUAUAGUCCAAUAUAGUUAUCUCAUUUGCAACAUUUGGAAUCAGUUUUACAAUUAUUGCAACAAUGAGUUGUAAGCAAUACUAUCCAAAUGCACCUUUGGGUUACAACAGAUGGAAUACUUAGGUCAUACAAUUUUUGAACAAGGUGCAAGCUGUGUUAGAUUGGCCUACACCACUCAAUAUCAAACAAUUGAGGUAUUAUCGCAGGUAAUUAAAGGCUAUGCUUCUAAAGCUUUUCCUUUAACAAAUUUAGUUUCUGCUGGCAUGAUGUUUCUGCCUCAACAUUUGCAAAUCUGAAAGCUGCCAUCACUAAGGCCCUUGUACUAUCCCUUCCAGAAUUUUCUAAGCCUUCUGUCUUAGAAACCGAUGCACGGAGCAUUGAAAUAGGUGCAGUUUUGAGCCAAAAUAUGCAUCAUAUUGCGUUUUUCUCUAGGAAGCUCACUUCUAGAAUGCAGCAACAAUCCACUUAUUCUAGGGAAUUUUAUGCCAUUGCAUAAGUGAUUGCCAAGCUUCAGACAUUAUUUAUUGGGGUCACUAAUUUGUCAUUACAACAUAUCAACCAAGAUAUUUUGCAGUGACUGUCACACCUUCAGACAUUAUUUAUUGGGGUCACUAAUUUGCCACUCAAUUUCAACCAGUUGGGUAAUCCUCAAAAUUUUAUCGUGAUUGUAUAGGUUAUUGCAAUUGUUAGUCUUUAAUAAGGAAUUCCUAGUAAACACAAGUCAUAUUGUU